rnacentral:lncRNA from 1 species
CUCCUCUUCAUUUUCACUUCCACCACCUAACUGAUUCACACCUGAGUCAAAGUCAAAGCCAUCUUCCUCGUACCUCUAACAAGCCUCUCCACUCUCUGCAUCUUCUAUUGCUAAUCUGUCUUGUCCCACUGCAAAUCAUCUCAACUUUUCAUUCAAGAACCUACCAGGGUAACAAGCAGCCCAGAAUCCAGGUCAUCCUUAUAUCAAAGCCUUAAAAUCCGAUUCUACAUAACAGCCAAGCAAGAGAUUCCAAAGACAAGCAUAAGAAUCAUCAAUAAUGGAGAGAGUGGGGACGUCCUGCUUUGGAGCGGGAAUCUUCGUUGCACCAGUGACUAAAAAGAGGCAUCACCUGGGGAGAGGAUACACUGAUGGAGUAUUUGGAGAAUCCCAAGAAGUACAUCCCUGGAACAAAAAUGAUCUUUGUCGGCAUUAAGAAGAAGGAAGAAAGGGCAGACUUGAUAGCUUAUCUCAAAAAAGCUACUAAUGAGUAAUAAUUGGCCACUGCCUUAUUUAUUACAAAACAAAUGUCUCAUGACUUUUUUAUGUGUACCAUACUUUAAUAGAUCUCAUACACCAGAAUUCAGAUCAUGAAUGACUGACAGAAUAUUUUGUUGGGCAGUCCUGAUUUAAAACUAAGACUGGCUUGUGGUUAAAUGAAUAUGUUCAGUUUUUGAAUUUUAAUAGUAAUUCCAAUUCAGUAAAUGCUAUCACUGUUUACCCCUUCUAAAGAUAUGAUUAGACUUUGUUAGUAAUGUUCAACUUUUCGCAAAGAUGGUGAGUGCCAUCUUAAAACUUACUGGAGAUUGGUUUUAUAUUUAGAUUUAUAUAGCUGGUUAUGUGAAUAUAUUUAAAUACUGGGGAAAUUCCUUCACUGUCUCAGAACUAAGCAAGAUUCACCUGUAUUUUGUGUUCAUUUGCCUCUUAAAGGCAAGGGUUGAAGAUAAAUAAGGUAGCAAUGUCUACAGUUUUGGCCUUACAAUGCCAAUCUAAUUAUAAUUCCCUGUAUUUAAAAGGGUUCCUUUUACUUAUUGAAAAGCAUUUUAGUAUGGUUUAUGUGUAAUAUUAAAGAUUAUUCAACACUUCUCACAUCGUACAAAUCUAUAAGGUCACAUGCUUUUAAAAUAGUAGCAAGUUAAACUUCACUCUCGAAUUCUUUACAAUCUAAGUCAAACUAAGUUAUAAUUUAGGAUUGUCUUUAAACAGCCAUUCAGAAACAUAAAACUGUAGAACUGGGGCCGGGCGCGGUGGCUCAAGCCUGUAAUCCCAGCACUUUGGGAGGCCGAGACGGGUGGAUCACGAGGUCAGGAAAUCGAGACCAUCCUGGCUAACACGGUGAAACCCCGUCUCUACUAAAAAAUACAAAAAAACUAGCCGGGCGAAGUGGCGGGUGCCUGUGGUCCCAGCUACUCGGGAGGCUGAGGCAGGAGAAUGGCGUAAACCCAGGAGGUGGAGCUUGCAGUGAGCUGAGAUCCGGCCACUGCACUCCAGCCUGGGCGACAGAGCCAGACUCAGUCUCAAAAAAAAAAAAAAAAAAAAAAAAAAAACUGUAGAACUGUGUAUUUGUGAUUGGGAAUGGUGCUUUUGCCAACUUAAAAGGAUUAAAGUAGUGGAGAUAUACACAAAUUUUAAAAUGUGUGAUCGCAAGACUAAAGAUAAUUAAAAAGAAAACCACAGGAAAAAAAAAAAAAAGAAUCAUCAAUAAUGAAGCAGUCUUCCAAUCUAUUCAAAUCAAUCUUCAGUCUUUGUUACAUAACAUUUCAGUGAAAACAUAAAAAUAAUCCCUUUGGUUAGUAUUUGUUUAAUUAAUCUAAAAAUUAUUUCAUGUAAUUAGAACGCAAAGAAAGUAUCACUGUCUGCCAACAGAAACCAUUUUUUUUUUCAGUUCACAGGUCUUUUAGCUCCAGAAACCUCAUCUUAAGAAUUUUUGUGUUUGUGAGUGGUUAUAGAUGUUUUCUUUUUUUUAUCUUCAUAGAUCAAUUAAUUGAGAAUUAGAAAUAUUAAUAGAAGAUUUAUGCAUUUCUUAGUUAACGUAACAGUUUAGCUAAAUAUAAACUUUGCACUAAAGUUUUGCAGUGACACAAUACCAACAAAGGAUACAGAAAUAUUUUUAAACUAUAGAAAAAUUCAAAUGGAAAAUAAUCUUGAUUCAGUUUUAUUAUACAUUAACAUAUAAAAAGUCUCAUUUUAUAAGACAU